UUUUAUUAAAGUGUUAUGUUUAACACAAAAUAAUAAUUUAUUAUUGUUUGCUUUACUUUAAUUAGGUGCUCUUGCUGGGGCAUUGUAAAAAUUGGUGUCAAGCCUUACCAUAUUUCAGGCUUUACUGGAUAGAUGGUGUGUGUCUGAUGAAGACUUCAGAUUCUGAACACAUCAAAAAACACCAACCCCUCCUGACAUAUCUUUUCAGUUUGGGGUAGCAAAACAUGAAUGUAUGUGCCAAAGUAGAAUUCAUUAACCUUAGCCGUGAUCAGCUCAUCAUCUCUCCAUACCCUUUCCACAUGGAAGUCACCCCUUGUUCUUGUCACAAGAUCACACCAAGCUAACUAAGCCAGUAACCAUCAGCUGACCUUGGACUUGCCAAUUGUAGGUGUGUUUCUUUCUUAGCUUUGCAUGGUCCCCAACAAACUCAAUGUGGGAUGCCUCUCUGAUUUCUUUCACAUCAGGGCACUUAACCUCUACCAGGCCAUAGAGGGGUUCUUCAUUUGGGUCCACCACUUUGCCAUCUGGACUUGCAGCAAGGUGUGGAGCAUCGGGGUGGAUGAGACCAGAUGGAAGAACGUUAACGUCAAAGGUCUCAGCAUAGUGGCGAAGAACCUCUGGCUCAAGUUUCAAUACUCUACACAUCUCUCUCUAGAGACCCCAGACAGAUGUUUACACUCACUGUUUAAUGCAAGAUAUAAAUGCAUUUAACCUGCAAUUACAAAUGCAUAAUGUUUGGAUAUUUUUAUCCUAAAAUGUUGAAUACUGAUAUUUGAAAUCAUAAAAAAAGAAAGUGCUUUAAGAUGUGAAAUUAAAAACGCCAAUAUCUAGACCAUCAUGCAUUGUAACAUCACUUCCUUUCAUGUUUUUACUAUACAGUUGGUAUGGAAUUUUUGUUUAAACUUUUUCUUGUCUUAAUUUUGGAAAAAAGUAUUACAUGUUUAUUUGAAAUGCUUAUACAAAAUAAAUAUGUAGUUAACUUUAAAGUAUAUCUACAUUUCUUGCUUUCAUACAUGGUGAUGUGAAAAAUGUGCCAUACUUUAGUGGUAGAUUUCUGCCAUUUACUGAAAAACACAUUUUAAUGAAGGGAACAUUUUUUUUUAAAGCAAAUUUAAUUUGGGGUCCUGAAAUA
ensembl:lncRNA